UCCUGUCUGAAUAUGGGGGGACCAUCCUCCAAGGCUAAAUACUCCUGACUGACCGAUAGUGAACCAGUACCGUGAGGGAAAGGCGAAAAGAACCCCGGCGAGGGGAGUGAAAAAGAACCUGAAACCGUGUACGUACAAGCAGUGGGAGCACAGGUUUACCUGUGUGACUGCGUACCUUUUGUAUAAUGGGUCAGCGACUUAUAUUCUGUAGCAAGGUUAACCGAAUAGGGGAGCCGGAGGGAAACCGAGUCUUAAUUGGGCGUUAAGUUGCAGGGUAUAGACCCGAAACCCGGUGAUCUAGCCAUGGGCAGGUUGAAGGUUGGGUAACACUAACUGGAGGACCGAACCGACUAAUGUUGAAAAAUUAGCGGAUGACCUGUGGCUGGGGGUGAAAGGCCAAUCAAAC
rnacentral:rRNA from 1 species